UACGUAGGGCGCAAGCGUUGUCCGGAAUUAUUGGGCGUAAAGGGCUCGUAGGCGGUUUGUCGCGUCGGGAGUGAAAACCUACAGCUUAACUGUGGGCUUGCUUUCGAUACGGGCAGACUUGAGGCAUGCAGGGGAGAACGGAAUUCCUGGUGUAGCGGUGAAAUGACGCAGAUAUCAGGAGGAACACCGGUGGCGAAGGCGGUUCUCUGGGCAUGUUCUGACGCUGAGGAGCGAAAGUGUGGGGGAGCGAACAGG
rnacentral:rRNA from 1 species